UGGCAUGAAGAUGAGUUCUUUCUUCACCUGGUUGGUGGGAUGAGUGGCAAGUUGCCAAAUGAUAUUAGAGUACGGGUUGUACAUUUCAUCACCUGAUUGGUGGCAUGAAGAUGAGUUCCUUCUUCACAUUUCAUCACCUGGUUGGUGAGAAUAAGGGCAAUGUGUCGAGGCACAUUGUAGCAAGUGUCGAAGACACAAAGUAUGUUGAACCCUUUCAAAGCACAGUUGACUUAUGUAUGGAUGUGUUGGAAUGUAUGAUGUUUAUGUAUGAAUGUGUUGGAAUGUAUGAUGUUUAUGUUGAUUGAUAUGAAUGAUGCUUAUGAAUGUUUUGCUAUGCAUGAAGGGAUCCAUGCUUUUGAUAUGUGAACCAUGUUGGUUGUAACACUUAGUAUCACAUACUUUGUGUCAAAGUAUGCAUGUUGAAGCUCUGAGUUGGAGUAUAAGGGUAGGUCAGUGUAGACCAAGUGUUCCAAUGCUAGGAACGCAAAAGACUUAGAAGAAGUUGUCUAAAUUCUCUUUUCUUUAAAUAUUUGUUGAAUGGCUUGUGUAACAAAAGAUCUCAAGCGGUUGAGAGUCAAAACAUUUGUAAUGUAUAUGCCUUCUUAUAAUAGCAUUUUCUUCACUACCGUGAAGGCCUUGAGGGCGAUCUUGUCAUCUGCCUCAGCGCAGCGAGAAUACUCAUGGCUAAAGCGACCAGCAUACUCUCGUAGUGACUCAUCCGGCUUCUAGCUAAUAGUGUACAAGUCAUCUGCAGAAUGCAAGCGAUCGGUCUGGAAGAUGUGUUGAGAGACAAACAGUUUCCUCAGUUCCUCAAAUGAGUCUACUGUCUCAGGUGGAAGACGGCAAUACCAGUUUAGAGCUCCACCAGAGAGGGUGGAGGGGAAGAGAAGACAUCGCUCUUCGUCGGUGUGCAUCUGAUAUGCCAUGGUGGACUCAAAGAGGUUAAGGUGUUCAAUUGGGUCCUUCAUUCCAGUAUAGAGUUGUAAACAAGGCUUUUGUUUUGUCUUCACUUGAAAGGGGUGUCGAGGAUCCUCCUUAUGAGAGGGUCAAGCCUGGGUUGGUUCCAGUCAGGUAUCUCGGCCUAAAGUUCGGCCUUCAACUUGUUUACUUCCUCAAUGAGCUGUAAGACAAAGGGGUCCUGAGUGGAGUCAUGUACCACUGGAAUUUUCUUUCAUAAGUCUCCAUUGCCUCUUGGAAGUAGGAAAGUUUGAGCAAGGGCGUAUGGUUUUUUCUUGGACACGCCGUACUAACUUCUAGGGCGAGUCUGUCGGAAUACCUCAGAGUCCCCUAUACCUUCAAUUUCCUCUAGGACCUGUCGUUCCUUCCUUAGAUUGGCAGCUGGCCUGGAUCUUGGAAAGGGACCGAUCUUUCAGAAACCCUUAGGUCAUUGAUCUUCGAGCAUAUGUGGAAGGGAUUCUCUCGACGUUACUUUAGGAAGUCUUAGCAGUCACGAUAAAUGGCUUUCGAUCAUUCCAACCCUUCUGCAAGGAGGUGUUUUCCUCCACUUCUCCUGCUUCGGGUCGAAGCAUCUGGGUUGAGAGAAGUCUCAUGUUGAUCAAUGUUUUAAUGAUUAGCUUGCUCCUCAUCAAGGAUACCCAU
rnacentral:lncRNA from 1 species